CCGGCCGCAGCCCAAAGGGGCCCUUGAUGGGGGAGAUGCCUCGGACGAUGCAGUCGAACAGGAAGCUGAUCUGCUCCCCAUCGGCCGAGGACAGGAAGAAGACGCCAGCCCCUGCAGAGGAAGGAUAGAGACAGGUCAGCCUGGCCCGAGCGCAGGCUGGGGACCCUGAAGAGGAGGAACGCAGGAAACCGGAGCAAACUCCACCAAGAGCUGCCAACGACACCCCGCCUGGCCCCACGAAGUCAGAUGCCCAGAGCCGACACCCCGCCUGGCCCCACGAAGCCAGGUGCCCAGAGCCGACACUCCGCCUGGCCCCGCGAAUCCGGGUCCCCAGAGCCGACACCCUGCCUGGCUCUGUGAAGCUGGGUCCCCAGAGCCUCUGGACUCCCCAGGGACCCCGCCGCACCCUUCAAACUUGGGCGUUGGGGUCCCAGCAACCCUGCCCCCACAGCCGUCUUGAGGGCAAAUGAAGCAGCCAGGAGACCCCAGAGACAUCAAGUAGGGUCCUCUCAGGGCUCCAAGGCCACAGGAGAAGGGAGCUGUGCCACCUGGAGCUGGGGUCACAUCCCAGGACAGCUGCCAUGUGACCGCACUUCCUUCCCCCGGGCUGUCGUGAGGGCUGCGUUCAGAUGUUUGUAAAAGGUGUGGCACGGCACCUGCCCACACAUGCCGCAGCCAUCACUGCUGGCCAGCACCGCGUCCUCCCCACCUCCUCGGUCAUCUUUCAGGGGAAGCUGGAGCUGCCAGUGUGUGGGUGCCGCCCUGAGGCCAUGUGCAGCAUCCUGGGGCCAACAUCCACCGCUGCACCCCCACAGCAGCAGGAGGGCCCCCGGGGACCAGCCCGGCGUCACUGGCAGAGCUAUGCGGCUGCCACCCGUGGAGAAGCCCCAGCUGCGAGUCACGGGGGUGCUGCCCUCCCGGCCAGGGGUGAAUGAAGCCCUGGCGGCCGCGUGAAUGGGCCACUGGGCUGGCUGCACCCGGCUGGACACUCCGGCUGGCGUCACCUCACAGGAAUCCCGCCCGCUCCGGGGCCUCUGCCCAUUGCCCAAAGAAAGGUACGCAGGAGGGAAGGCGCCAGGGCGGGCAGGAGUCGGGGGGAAGGGAAAUCUCGGCAUUAGAACCCCCGCUGCCUGCUGCCCAGUCACGCUCUGCCUUCACGGAACACAAGCUGUAGAUUCCAGGGACACGGAACUCGGGCCAGCCCCGACACGUGGUGACGCUGCUGGCCCCUUGGCAGCCACCCCGGGCACACGAGGGCGAGCGGCACCUUGUGCUGUGGAUGCUUCCUUCCACAUAGUGUCCCCAAACCGGGUCACGGGACAGCGCCAUUCCUACUUUAGCAAAAAGGACACUGAGGCCCAGAGAGGGCACGCCACCUGUCCACCAUCACACAGCCACGAGGUGGACUCAAGUCCAAGUCCCCUGGCUCCCUGAGCACCUCCUGGCCCGACAGAGCUUUCAGUCCUGCUGUGGGUGAGGGGUGCUCCUGAUCAGAAGUGGAGGUGGAGCAUGGAGGGGAGGCCAAUGCCUGCUGCGAUGCCAUCCAGGAGGAUGCCCCGAGAGGCUCAUGGGGGCCGUGAUGGGGUGGGGCCCCCAAGCUGGGUAGGGUGGGCAGAAGAGAGCCCGCACCAGGCCCUGGGGGCAGGCAAGGAGAAGGCCGUCAUGCUGUCUGCUGCCUGGCUCACUCAGUGCCAGGCAGUCGCUCCCUGUCCCCGUGGUCCACCCCUCCCUGUGAAGGGCUCAGCCGGCCCAGCCCCAGCUCUCACGAAAGGCCAGGCUCUCUAAUCCUGAGCUUACAGACAGCUGGCAGUGGCCGCAGGACAAUGAGUCCCCCGACUAUAAAAAACCACAUUAUGGAAGGAGUGGAGCCGGCCCCGCAUUCCAUGGGGCGUCUGCGGAGCGUCACUCACCCCGAAGACACGGUCAACCGGGCAAGGCCUGGAGCACAGCCCACCGCCAGCCUCGGGCUCCCACGUGCCCACGCGACACCCUUGCCAGCCACCCCCAUCAUCCAUGCCAGCAGAGCUGACAUCAGUGGCCCUGGAGGAAGAUGCCCAUCUCCAAUGCUGGUCUGCCAAGGUCUUGGGCCGUGGCCUCCCAGGACACCGCACGACUAGGCUCUCGCUGGGCCUCCCUGGGUUCAUGCUCCACCCCUGCCCGCAGCCUCCCCGCUCCCACCCAGCCCCCACAGUCUUGGGAAUGCGCAAAGCUCCCUCUGCACACCAGGUCUGCCUGCCAUCUCCACUCAGGAGGCUGCCGUCCCCACCCUCCACACCCCUGGCCACCUAGAACACCCCGGACCUUUCCAGACUCAGGCCACAUAACGACACCUUUCAUGAUGCUUUUCUUGGCCUCUGGCCCCCCUUCAGUCCCCUGACCCCGACAGCCCCUCUGUGGUGCGCUCACGGACGCCUCCUCUGGGGCAGAGCCCCACCUGCUGCUGUCCCGGCCGCCAGGCUGAGCACCUUGCCAGCAGGGAGCCCAAGCCGUCUGUGGUCUCAGUGUCCACCCAAGCGCCCAUAACCAGGAGACCCCCAGUGCUCAGCCUUGGGUGGAAAGACAUAGGUGAGAGGCUGCUGACCGCCCCCCUGCCCCUUCCCCAAGACAGGGUGCGCAUGUUUCCUGUUUGCCUGUGUGUUUGGGGAAAGGGGGGAGAACAGGGCCUGCCCCAUUUUGCGGUAUCACACAGGUGUGACUGCAGCAAAGCCGGCCACUCUGUUUCCCCUAUCCCUGCCCUCAGAGGCCGCUCCUUCUCCAGAGGCUGGUCCACUCCCUCCCCGGAAUCGAAGCCAGCCAGUGAUGGCUCUGGCAUAAAGUGGCACGAGGGAUGCUCUCCCAGCCCUGCCCCAAGACCAUCAGAGGCCUGGCAGCUUCUGCUUCUGCCCUCUUGGAACCUAUUGAGAAGCCCAAGGUGUCCUAUCAGAGGGUGAGGUUCCUGGAGGGAAACUGAGGCAACCCAGCCAACAGCCGGCACAGCGCUUUCCUGGGCCUUUGGGCCCCACCAUAGCCAAAUGCCACUGCCCGAGGGACCCCAGGCAGCACCUCAUGGGGCAGAGAUGAGCUGUCCUCACUGAGCCCCGUCCAGAUCCCUGGCCCACAGAAUUGCCAGCCAGGGAACAGCCACCAGCCGCUAGGUGUGGCAGGGUAAAUAGGAGUUAGCUCAGCUGUUAGAGGGUAAGGGGUGGAGUGGGGUGAAAAGGGCACGUCAGACAUCUUUGAGCACAAACGGGUGUCUCAAAGGGCUGUGUAGGAGCCCUGUUGGGGGGGAUAGGAGGCAUGAGGGUAAGAGGAAAGAGCAUGGGAGACGCAGAGAAGCAGGACAGAGUCAGCACAACACAAGCAGAAGGCCAGGACCUGCGGGGCUCAGGGCGGCGCCAACUCUGGACAGAGGCUGGGGUUGCUGAGCGGCGGGCAAACCUCACCCACGUUACAGACGCACCUGCUUCCUGAGAAACACGUCUCCAGUGAAAAAGCUGUUGCACUAACUCCAGGACUCACCGGCUUGAGAAAGAAAAUGCUCCUCCACGCAGACAUUUAAUGAGCCAAUUAGAUCUAAGAUGGUUUCCAUCUGAAUAUUCUUGAGUGCCCUCGUGGCUUCCACGCAGACAUUCAAUGAGCCAAUUAGAUCUAGGACUGUUUCCGUUUGAAUAAUCUUGAGUGCCCUCGUGGCUGCCCCUUGAUGUCAGAAUCUUAAGUGCUCAUAAUCCCAGCUCCUCAGAGAACAAACAUCGGGGUGACCAGGGUGUCCUGCAUGGCUCAUGCCAGAUAGGCGUGGGCAGGACUGAGAAGUCUUGAUAACAUGACCCUCAGCCCUCUCCAUCCCCCAAGGUGGCAGCUUCUUGUACACUUGGGAGUGGCCCCACCUGGUGGGUCUCGGGCGGAGGAAGGCCUGGAGCCUGGCAGUGGGUGUUGGCUCCCACCCCUCCUCUGCCCUCCUGAAGCAGCCCCAGUCCAGGGGCACCACUCUAGAAGGCCCCCCUUCCCGGGCCGGCUCUCCUUCCCUUGUCCAUCACCACCUUGUUAACAUUCCUGCAAUCCACAGGGUUCCCAUCCCCCAACCAGGCAGCUGCUGCCUGGGGCAGCCUCGCCCUCCAUCUUCUGGACCUCAACCAGAACCUUCUCUGGCCCCUGCCAGCCUCUUCCUCCAAGCUCAUCUGCACCCCGGGGUCAACAUUAGCAUAUAAAACACUCCCCCUGCUCAAGCACCUUCAAUGGCUCCCUGCUGCUCCGAGACAAUGGUGCAAACACUGGUCCAAUUAGCCAGCUCUCUACAACCCAGCCCUGUCUCCUCCUCCUCCUCUACCCUCACGCCUCCUAUCCCCACCUAACAGGGUUCCUACACAGCCCUUCGGGACACCCAUUCAUGCUCAAAGAUGUCUGAAGUGCCCUUUUCACCCCCCUCCACCCCUUACCCUCUGACAGCUGAGCUAACUCCUAUUCACCCUGCAGAAGUCCGCUGAGGCUCACCCCUCCAGAGAGCUUCCCCCCAGUGCCCCAGCCUGGGGUCUGUGCCCCUCCUGGCUCCCCUCGCACCCUCUGAGGACUGAAAAUGCCUCAUUCAGUCUCAUGCAGCCUCUGAGGCCGAACCAUCUGAUCCCUAGGCCCAGCGCCCGGCAAUGAGAAACCGCUGAAGGCGCUCCCUGCUGCCUGACAGAGGCCAGGGUUCCAGCCAGCUCUGUCCAGGCUGCCCCCGCAGGCUGCAGUGGCCAAAGGUGGCCGGCAGGGGGCUCUCCAGAGCUGGGCAGAUGCCGCGUUCAUGUAGCAAGAGCCUCCCUAGUUCAGGUUUUCAUUCUUUACUCUUUUUUUUUUUUUUUUUUUUUUUUGAGACAGAGCCUGGCUCUGUUGCCUUGGUUGGACUGCAAUGGCGGGAUCUCAGCUCACUGCAACCUCCAACUCCCAGGUUCAAGUGAUUUUCCCACCUCAGCCUCUGGAGUAGCUGGGAUUACAGGCACCUGCCACCACACCUGCCUAAUUUUUGUAUUUUUAGUAGAGAUAGGGUUUCACCAUGUUGACCAGGCUGGUCUCGAACUCCUGACCUCAGGUGAUCCUCCCACCUCCACCUCCCAAAGUGCUGGGAUUACAGGCAUGAGCCACUGUGACUGGCCACAUUCUUAAUCAUUUUUAAAAGUCAAAAUGAGUUUCAAAUGCUCCCGGUGGCCCCCAGAGGCUGGGCGAAGAGGCAGAUAUGGUCCUUGGACUGGACCCAGCUGGAGAGAGCAGGUAAGGGGGGAAAAAGGGGGCACCUCCAAAAGCUUCCAUUCACCCUCAAGGCCCAGCUCAAAUGUCCCCCUGCGCCUCCAAAGCCCUCCCUUCCUAGGCUCUGGGUGGGCUCACCCUCUCUGGGACCCACCACUGUCUGUGCUGCAAGCUGAGCCUGUCCCAGGGCGAGUGGCCCUCUCUGCAUCACUCUCCACCACGCACAGUCCGUCCCCAAAGGCGGGGCCCAGUCACUUGCCCGUGUGUGAGGCUGGAGCCCGCAGCCCUGAGCUGUCCACAGACCAUCGCCUGCCAUGUGCCAAGUGCGCUCGAGCCAAGCUCCAGGAGUCCACACUACAGGCCCGUGACCAACAGAGAUGGGGAAUUGGGCCACAAUGGGGACCCGGGGGUUGCUGUCACCAAGCCACCUCCUGUCCCAUUCUGAACAGGCAGCUGUCCACAGACCUCCGCUCCCCAGGCACCAAGACCAGCCAGGCCUGCCUCCACCCGACCCCACCAGGGCCCCCGUGAUGCACACCCACGCCCAGCGUCUCAGGAUGAGUGAGGCGCAGCCAUCGCCUUGGGCCAGGGUCACCCUUUCUGCUCUCUGCAGAGCUGGCUGUGGUGGGGCCAAGUGAGGCGAUUCUGGGGAUCGGGGGCCAGGCUAGGACCUGUCCCUGGGGAAGGAGGGAAUGUGAAUUUCCUACACCCAAGAACUUCCAGGGCCUUCCCACGACUUCAGCCCAGCUGUGACCUCCAGACUGAAUGCGACGACACCCACAGACUUAUUGGGAUUCAGAUUCUGGAUAUUUCUCCGUCCCAGUGGCCCCGGUUGUCGGCCAAAUGGUGGCCCACAAAAUGUGUUCACAUACCAGGGCCUGUGAACAGAAGCCUCUGCAGAUGGAAUUGAUGGUCUCGGGAUGGGGUCACCCUGGGUCAUCCAGGUGGGCCCUAAGUCCACAGACUGCAAGACUGAAGAGGAGGCCCACGCAGGAGCCAGCAGGCGCAGGGACUGGAGUGGCACAGCCACGAGCCGAGGCCGCCAGGGCCACUAGCGGCUGGAAGGGGCAGGAAGGACCUUCCCAUGGGUCCUCCCCAAGAGGUUUUGGAAAAAGCCAACCCUGAGGACCCCUUGAUUUGGGACUUCUGGCCUCCAGGCUGCAGAAGGAACCUGUUCUGGACACUUGGCCCUCUCUUGGGGGUCAUCUGCUACAGAAGCCCCAGGAAGCUGAUGCCGCUGCCCCUGGACCACCCGAGUUGCCGGCUCCCUCCCGCCAGAGGCCCCAGGCUGCCCACACGUGCCGCAGACGCCCUGUCCCUCCAGCCACACGGCCUGCACUCAGUGCUGCGUUGAGAACACCAUCACGUGGCGGAGUCUAAGACCCAGCCUAAACCACCCAGGGUGGUGGCCACGCCUGUCUCCAGGAGGAUACAGCCCAGCAGGGCCUGCCGGGGACAGGGAUGGGUGGCUCGGCCAAGCCUUCCAGCCUGGCCUCCAGAACCCACCUGCCCUACGGGGUGUGCAGCCAUCGGUGACCGAAUUCCCAGAGCCCUUCCUCUCUCAGGCCAGGGUACCACCGGGGACGAGAACAUUCAGCACUGAGCUGCAAAGGCGGGUUCUGUGGGGCCAGCCCCUGUUUGCAGGUUCUGUGGGGCCAGCCCAGUUUGCAGGCUUGUGGGUUCUGUGGGGCCAGCCCAGUUUGCAGGUUUGCAGGUUCUGUGGGGCCAGCCUGGUUUGCAGGUUUGCAGGUGGGGCUGCUCUAACAGCUUGCCCCGGAGAGGCAGCAGCGACACAGACGGCCCCACAAGAGUGCCCCCGGCUUUUGAGCAGCCCAGGAAAACGGCACAGUAGCCUCGCCCUGGGGAGAAGCACAGCCCCAGGUGUGGGAUUGUUUACCAGCGGAAAAGGGGCCACCCACACCUCGGCAGGGAUGUGAACCUCCACGGCCUCAGAGGAAAAACAUCCAGUGUCCCCAUUCCAUUAUGGCCCAGACAAAAUAAGCAGGUCUCCAAGGAAACGGGUCCUCCUGCUGUGCCCCGGCUUAGAGGGUGAGAACGCGGCGCCACCCCGGCCGGCUGCCUGCCCGUGCCAAGGAAUUCCACAGACAGAAAGGAAGGUAUGGGUCCCCCUCCUCUAGGCACCCCCAAACCUAGCCCACAACAGACAGGACAGGCUGCCCGUGCCAGGACAACUACAGCCUGCAGCUCUGGCUUCCCACACGACAAAGGACAGGGACGCUGGGCCCACCCACUGUGCCCAGCCACCGCCAACCCACUCCCCAGUGGCUCCCGAAGCCCCAGUACUGAACCUCUGGCCUGCCGCAGGGAGGGCCUGGGGGCAGAUGGGACCCCGACAGGUGUCCUAGCUCUUCCGGGAACCACCCCCCACCACACCCCCCUGCACCAGCUCACAGCUGGCGUAGGCAGCGGCCCUGCCCAUCCAUACUGGCUCUCCAAUCCCAGAGGGGCCAAGGCCCUUUGGACUCUGGCUAUGGCCCCUGCCAGCCCCAAGGGUCGAGACUCCGGGCCAGCUCUGCCCCACGUGCCUCCUGCAGCUGGCUGUGUAUGCCCCCAGUCCGUGGAGCCUAAGCCUCACUGCCCUGUUCCCCUUUCAAGGGUUAUAUGUCAUCUCCUCAAAGGCCCCAGCAGGGCUGGCUCCUGCCACAAGGCCCACUGGGUUUGCUCCCAGCGCCCAGCGCAGAAGGUGGCAGAACGUGGCACCCAGACAGGCUUGCGCCCGUGCCCCAGCUGGCCUUUGCAGGAUGAGGUCCCAGGCGGCCAGUGUGGCCCAUGUCCUUGCCUGCGUUUCCUCCACCCAGACACAUCCAGGCUCCACCAGAGCCCCCACCAGUGUGAGCCAAGUGCAGUCCCUCAGUCCUCUCAGCCCCAAACCAGGCCCACAGGAGGUCCCUCUGCCCACCUUCAGCCCGGCCAAUGAGCAGCUGCCCCUCCAGAGAGAAGAGAGGAGACGUCACACCCUCCGCGGGGACUGCAGGUCCACAGGGCAACCUGGCGCAUCUGCACCCAACAUGGAAGAAAGUGGAGGGGGUUGCUGGAACAACCUGCUCCUGCAGCAGCCCCAGUGGGCACCUCAGACUCUCUGGGGAGGGCCGGGUGCCUUCCUGCUCCCAUUUCCCUCACUCCCCUGGCUGAGGACAGCUCUCAGGCCUUCACAGGCUCAGAGGACUCAGGCCAUCCCCACCCACGGCCUGGCCACCUCACUGGGGACAUUAGGGCCGCUCUGGGCGGCCCACAGGUGGGGUGGCUGGCAUGUCCACCAGGAAUUCUUGGUCCAGGAAUGUGUUUCUGCGGUGCUUAUGCAGGAGCUCACACUCCCCACUGCUAAAUGUGUUUGUUCUUUGUUUUUUCCUUUCCAUGAAAUCUGGAUAUGAGCGGCUCUGAGGCUAUGUGGCCUCAGGCCCCGCCUCACAUCCCUGAACUCUCUCCCUCCAGUGAGGAAGAGCAGAGGUAGCCAAGGCCCAGCCUCGACACUCCACCCUGAGGUUCCUGCAGGCAGAGGACCUCGGACAUCGAGCGUGGGGAGACUCCGUCCACCUGCCGGCGCAUUCUGGAAAUGCCAGCAGGCCAGCCUGCAAGUGGGGUCGGCCGGCCUGAAGCCAGCAGUUCUCGGGGGAAGUGGGGGGUGCUGCUGCUGCCCAGUGACCCCACACAUCCAUACUUACAGUACCCACACCUGGUCCUGCCUUCAAAGAUGAAUCCGCUUGGCACGGCCCCGUAGCGCCGGAGGUCGGACAGCUUCCACUGCCCUGUGACAGCCGGGGGGAUGUCCCUGGCCAAGACGAGGACAUCAUUGCAGAGGUGCAGGGUAGCCGGGCCGCUCUCCAACUUGGUGCCUGGAGCCACUGUCACAUGGAACCUAUGCACUGCGGGCAGGCGGGGCGAGAGGGCAUCAUGGGUGGGCAGUGUGAGAGGACAUCAUGGGCGGGUGGGGUGAGAGGGCAUCACGGUCAGGCGGGGCGAGAGGGCAUCAUGGGCAGGCGGGGUGAGAGGGCAUCAUGGGCAGGCGGGGUGAGAGGGCAUCAUGGGCAGGCAGGGUGAGAGGGCAUAACGGGCAGGUGAGGUGAAAGGGCAUCAUGGCCAGGUGGGGCGAGAGGGCAUCAUGGGCAGGUGGGGCGAGAGGGCAUCAUCAGAGGAGGCAACAGGGGCCACUGUGGACAGGUGGGGUGAGAAGGCAUCUCAGGAGGAGGCAGCAGGGGCAGGGGCCAGGCUGGGGCAGGUGGGGGCAGCCACCCAGGUGUCAGCCGGGGAGGCAGCGAUGGCAGGAUGAGCAAAUGGCACUCCUCACAGCCACGAGGGGGACUGGUGGCUGCACUUCUCUCCUUGCCAUCCUCCCAGGAACUAUCUUUGUUCAGGGGCAAGGAAGUCUCAGAGGGGCCUGACCUCGGACCUCCACCUCCCUCCCCUCCACCACGGAGGUGCUAGGGAGGACAGGGCAGCUGAGUGCCCUGGCUGGGCUCCCACCCCCAGCACCUCCUCUCCAGGAAGGCUCUCUCUCCACAGCUGUGUGGCUCCAUCACAGAAGGGGAAACUGAGGCUCAGGGAACCCCCAGCCUCCAGUUCGGGUGUGGAGAGUCUGGAGUCUGCAUCGAGGCCCCAGCCUGGCCACGGGAACCUCAGGGCACCACCGGCCCUCUCUCCAUCCAGGUCAGCACGCCAGGCAGACAGCAGCCUCCCCACCAGGGGCCCCACCUGCUCCAUCUCCAACCCCCAGAGCCAAAGGGACCCCUGUUCCCAUCCCACCUCCCCCUUCUCUGCCUCCUCCACCUGCUCCAAGCUGUGGCCUCAGGCGCAUCCUUGUCAGGCCACGUUCUAUCAAGAUGAAACUGCCUGGGCGGUGCCCAGCAGCCUCUGUGCCAUGGCCCUGCGCCAGCGGAUGAAGGAAGCAGACCCAUGCCGCUGAGCCAGGCUGGAGGGAACCCCCAAUGGGAGAACUUUCUGGAAAGAUGCAGUUCUUCCCUCCUAAUGUCUCCUUCCCCUGCGCCCUCCUGCAGAGCCAACCGCACCUCCGCCCACUAAGCUCCCAGCUUCUCUUUCCCCACUCAAUGGAGCAGGAGGGGCUGCUGCCUUGGGGCCAAGACUGGGGGAGCGGGACACUCACCUCCAAGGCUGAAGAACUCAGCCAUCAAGGGCCAGGAUAUUUUAAUCAGUAUUUUAAAAAGUAAAGUUAUGCAGAGUCCAUGCUGAUCAAAAUAGCAAGUUUUUUUGUGUUUGUUUUUUUGAGACAGGGUCUCACUCUGUCGCCCAGGCUGGAGGGCAGUGGCACAACCUCAGGUCACCGCAACUUCCACCUCCCAGCUCUUUUUUUUUUUUUUUUUUGAGAUGGAGUCUUACUCUGUUGCCCAGGCUGGAGUGCAAUGACGCAAUCUCAGCUCAUUGCAACCCCUGCCUCCCAUGUUCAAGCGAUUCUCUUGUCUCAGCCUCCUGAGUAGCUGGGAUUACAUGUGCCCACCACCACACCAGGCUAAUUUUUCUAUUUUUAGUAGAGACGGGGUUUCACUAUGUUGGCCAGGCUGGUCUUGAACUCCUGACCUCAGGUGAUCUGCCCGCCUUGGCCUCCCAAAGCACAAGGUUUACAGGCAUGAGCCACUGCACCUGGCCAUCAUUUUUGUAUUUUUAGUAGAGACGAGGUUUUGCCACGUUGCCCAGGGUGGUCUGGUCUCUAUCUCCUGGGCUCAGGUGAUCCACCCACCUCAGCCACCCGAAGUACUGGAAUUACAGGUAUGAGCCACCGCGCCCAGCCUAA